AUCGAUUUCAGAGAGAUUGGCGCGAGCCUGGGAUUGCUACUGUAGCAACUCACGGUGAUACUCUUUACCUUAUUUUAAGCCUCGGAGAGCCCCAAGGCCUACCUGGUCCCCUUUUCCCGGGCUCUGGGGACUCUACUUAGAAAGUUUGUUAAAAGGAAUAACUGAAGCAAAGCUUCGCGAAACUUAAACUGCCAUUUGCAGCUAUCUCUGGUUCCGGCCCGACCCGUCGGUGCUUGAAGCUACAUUCCGUUUCCUGGAAAUAUUUCCGUCGGGAAACUAAGACUUUGGGGUCGCUCGGGUGUCUGGAUUGACAAAUAAAGAGACGGGAAGUUGGGGGAAGCCCGACCUUUGCUUGACACUUCCUCCUCUUCGAGACGUCUGUGGAGCCGGUAAUUCCGCAGGGUCUUGUCUCCCGCCGAGGUGGGCAGGAAGUGCUCCGAACCUUGCUAGUCCUGCGAGGACGUCCUUAAACCAAUCGCUUUGGGCGUGACCUGGUCUCUCAGAUCGGUCAGAAAUCACGCAAUCUUAUUCUAGGGAGCAGGAAACUCCCAUUCAUGGUCUGCAGUGAUUGAACCAAACUCUUCUUGGCUGGUCCGGGUGGUUUCAACUCUUGCCUGUACACAAUAGACCCCCAAACAUUUUUAUUUUUAUUUUAUUUAUAUUUAUUUUUGCUGAGGCAAUUGGGGUUAAGUGACUUGCUCAGGAUCACACAGCUAGGAAGUGUUAAGUGUCUGAGACCAGAUCUGAACUCCAGUCCGGACUUCAGGGCUGGUGCUCUAUCCAUCCAAACAUCUCUUUUAACUGUCAGUCUCUGCUUCAUUUUAUAUGGAUUACUUUCUUGUUCACCCCAUUUUGGGGUUUUCUUAGCAAAGAUAAUGGAAUAGACUCAACUGCUUUUACAAGCGAGGAAAUUGAGCAAACAGACUGACGUGACUUGGCCAGGGUUACCCAACUGGGAAGUGUCUGAGACCACAUUUGAACUCAGGUUUUGCUCAUUCCAGGCCCAGAUAUUCUGUCCCUUUCACCACCUAGUUGCCCAAAACUUGUUUAAGUUCUUAAUUUGAUUUGAUUCAACAAUAACACUUGCUUGAUGUGCUAUGUUUUAUGAAUUCAAAGACAAUUAGGAAAAAGUCCUUGACCUCAAUGAACUUAUAUUCUAUGGGGGAGAAAACAUUAUUUACUCAUGUAAACAUACCCACAUUUUGGGAAGAAGGGCACAGAUCUAAUCUGUUCUCAAUAUAACAGGUAUCCCAGAGGAUACAAUGAAGGGAUGAGUGGAAUGGGGUGAUAUAGAGGGGACAUAAUGGAACAGGAAAUGAUAAUCAGGCUUGGGUUUUUGGACAAAGCAACCUACAAGUCAACCUACAAAUCAUUGGUAUUGGGAGUGGAGCCAUAGGGAAAUUGGUGGUAAUACCCUGAUAGGUGCAAUGGAAAUAAUGAUUUUAUUUGACUGAGAGAAAAAAAGUGGAAACCAUAUUAUAGGGGGUAGGAUGAAUGGGUACAAAGCAGGAAUUUGUAGAGUCCCAGGGCCAGCCUGAAGCAAAAAUGUAUAAAAAGGAAUUCAUAGGGCAUAGGAGAAGUACUGGGAUGGGAUGGGACAAUUGAUGUUAGGGGAUAGAAUUCCUUUCGUUCCCCCCACUUUGUUUAUUUUCUACUUUGCAGAGAAUGGGAUGGAUGCAGUGCUGGCGUAGAAUCUGGCUACUGCCUCAAUACACCAGCUGUAAUUUAAUCCUUUGGGAUCCAUGUGAGUGAGUAGCUAAAUGGCAUCAGAGCUAGAACACUGGACUUGGAGUCAGGAAAACUCAUCUUCGGUAGUUCAAAUCUGACCAUAGAUACUAGUUGCAUGUGAUUCUAGAGGAAGUUAUUUAACCCUGCUUGCUUCAAUUUCCAGUCUGUAAAAUGAAAAAGGAAAUGGCAAAUCAUGCCAGUACUUUGCCAAGUAAGUGCCCCCCCUCCAUGGGGUCAUGAAAAGUCAGACAGUUGGAAAUGAAUCAACAAAUAGUGGCAGGAACGGGAAACUGAGUGGAUGCCCAUCAGUUGGAGAAUGGCUGAAUAAGUUAUAGUAUAUGAAUGUUAUGGAAUAUUAUUGUUCUAUAAGAAAUGAUUAGCAGGAUGAAUACAGACAGACCUGAAGAGACUUUCAUGAACUGAUGCUGAGUGAAAAGAGCAGAACUAGGAGAUCAUUGUAUAUGGCAACAACAAGAUUAUACAAUGAUCAGUUCUGAUUAUAUGUGACUCUUUUCAACAUCAAGGUGAUUCAGGCCAGUUCCAAUGUAUUGUGACAAAGAGAGCCAUCUGCACCCAGAGAAAGGACUGUGGGGGACUGAGUGUGGAUCACAACAAAAUAUUUUCACUUUUAAAAUUGUUAUUUACUUGCAUUUUGUUUUCUUUCUCUUUUUUUCCCUUUUUGAUCUGAUUUUUCUUGUGCAGCAUGAUAAAUGUGGAAUUGUACAUCUUUAACAUGCAGAC
ensembl:lncRNA